rnacentral:misc_RNA from 1 species
AUUAUUUUGUGGACCUUAAAGUUUCUUCUUGAAUUAUGAGUUGAACAGCUAGCCAGCAUUUCAAGCUUGUCUCACUCAACAGACAAAAUGGACUCUGCAAUCAACUCUGGAUAUUGCCGAGCAAGUGAACUAAAAGCUUUUGAUGAAACGAAAGCUGGUGUUAAAGGACUUGUUGAUGGUGGAAUUAUCAAAGUCCCUCGCAUUUUCUAUCGACUGCCCGAUGAUUUGGACAAAAUUUCAUGUGCUGAGACUGAUGUUGGCGCCAGCUUCACUUUCCCUGUCAUAGACCUUGAAGGCGUCGAUAAAGGUUCAAUUUCUCGCAAGGGGAUUAUUGACAAAGUACGAAAUGCUUCAGAGGACUGGGGAUUUUUUGAAGUUGUUAAUCAUGGGAUUCCUGCAAGUGUCCUGAAGGAGAUGAUGGAUGGUGUCAAUAGGUUUUUCGAGCAAGAUAUGGACAUUAAAAAAGAAUUCUUCUCUCGUGAUUACACCCAAAAGGUCGUCUACAAUAGUAACUUUGAUUUGUACAGUUCACCAUCAGCUAAUUGGAGGGAUACAGUCUCUGUUCAAAUGGCUCCUGAUCCUCCCAAGCCAGAAGAGUUGCCAGCCGCAUGCAGGUAAGUAAUUAAGCAGCACUAAUUUUGCAUUAGAUGACCAUUAUUUCAAUAAUAUCUAGGCUUGGAAAUAUCUCGGUUACAGCCACUUAUCUACUUUAAUUUCUUGCCUGCAAUUAAUAGGCAGCCAAGACUACUUCAGGUUCCUAUUUCUUUUGCAAGUUAUUUAUUAUUUCUUGAAGUUAACAUAAACUGAACUUUGAAAUGCUAUGUCGUAUUUUGAAUUUUUUCUGUAGAGAUGUACUAAUGGAGUACUCCAAGGAAGUAAUGAAAUUAGGAAAUUUAUUGCUUGAAUUGUUUUCUGAGGCUCUUGGUCUGAACCCAAACCACUUGAAAGACAUGGAUUGCGCUGAGGGGCUUAUGGUUCUGUGUCAUUACUAUCCAGCAUGCCCCCAGCCAGAAUUAACGAUGGGCACAAGCAAGCAUUCAGAUAAUGACUUCCUAACCGUGCUUCUUCAAGACCAUAUUGGUGGCCUCCAAGUUCUCCAUCAGAAUCAGUGGAUUGAUGUUCCUCCCACACCAGGGGCUCUGGUGGUUAACAUUGGAGAUCUUCUGCAGGCAAGCCAUCAAACUUUAUUUUGAUAAAGAAAGUGUUUACAACCCUAUUUACAAAUAUCAUUAAGUUUGCUGCUAAACAACACUUUAUGGCUAAGAUGGUACUACCUGCUGAUUUUUCAGCUCAUAUCAAACGAUAAUUUCGUAAGCGUUGAGCAUCGGGUGCUGGCAAACAAUAUAGGACCAAGAGUGUCUGUGGCGUGCUUUUUUAGCACUGCUCUAAUGUCAAAAUCAAGAAUCUAUGGACCUAUCAAAGAGUUGUUAUCAGAAGAGAAUCGUCCAAAGUACAGAGAAACCACAGUGAAAGAAUACGUUGCUCACUUCAAUGCAAAAGGCCUUGAUGGGACUUCUGCUCUGCUGCAUUUCAAGCUCUGAAGUCCAGCAAUGACAAAUAUAUGGGCAUGUAGUCUAAUUAGCACUUCUCAUGGAAUUGAUAAAGAUGAUUGUGGACAUUUUUUAUGGAAUUUGGUAAAGAUGAUUACGAAUAUUUUAAUGGAAUUGAUCAUAAUGCAAAUGAACCUUUGUCUAUAGGCUUGAACCUAAGCAAGCUGUUGCAGCAUCCUUUGGCACCUAAUCUAAAGCCUUCUUCCUCUUUACCGGGAGGCAUUGAGAACAUGGAGGAAUUUCAAAAUCAACAAAUCAACCCCAAAGUUGUCACCAAUAACAUGGCAGUUACCCCCAGAGAAUGCAGCUUUUGGGUAAAUUGACCAAUGACAGCUUGUAAAUUAAUUAACGACAUGUCGCAGAAGGGGAGAAUAUUGUUUGUUUGAUAACGUAUGGUCGUAAAAUUGAUAAAAUUUUGCUUCCUCUGGUAAUCUGUCUCUGCAAACUUUCUUGGAACUGUAUUGAGCCUCGUUUGCGAAGUUGCCAGGGUUCGCACACCAAUGUGUAUGAGAACCGCCAUUUUCUAUAUUGUUUCAACGAGGAAUGACUCUUUUGGGCUAAGCUCUACAGUUAUGAA